UCCGGACAUUGGAUCCUAUUGCUAGAUGGUUAUAUCGAUUAGUACAAAAAUUAUUCUUGUGCUAUAGGCUUAGGUUCGAACCUAUAGGGUUACACAGAUAGAAGUACUUGUCUGAUCAAAUGGCUGAUCAAUAAUUAUGAAUUAUUGAAAAGUUUAAUUAUCAAUUUGAUUGAUGAUUAAUCUUAUGCAAAGAUUGUAAUAAAUUAUUUACCAAUAGUUAGUAAAUUAAAAAAAUAAUUAAUUAACAAUA
rnacentral:lncRNA from 1 species